rnacentral:tRNA from 13 species
GGGUCGUUAGCUCAAUUGGUAGAGCAGUUGACUUUUAAUCAAUUGGUCGCAGGUUCGAAUCCUGCACGACCCACCA